rnacentral:sRNA from 1 species
AGAACGGAUAAAGGAUGUCGUGGACCGCA